ensembl:snRNA U6 U6 spliceosomal RNA
GUGCUUGCUUUGGCAGCACAUAUACUAAAAUUGGAAUGACACAGAGAAGAUUAGCAUGGCCCCUGCACAAGAAUGACAAGCAAAUUCAUGAGGAAUUCCGUAUUUUU